rnacentral:piRNA from 1 species
UUAAAGGUGACAGUGCAUUGCAAGGA